UGAGGAAUAUUGGUCAAUGGACGGAAGUCUGAACCAGCCAAGUAGCGUGCAGGAUGACGGCCCUAUGGGUUGUAAACUGCUUUUGUAUGGGGAUAAAGUUAGGGACGUGUCCCUAUUUGCAGGUACCAUACGAAUAAGGACCGGCUAAUUCCGUGCCAGCAGCCGCGGUAAUACGGAAGGUCCAGGCGUUAUCCGGAUUUAUUGGGUUUAAAGGGAGCGUAGGCUGGAGAUUAAGUGUGUUGUGAAAUGUAGACGCUCAACGUCUGAAUUGCAGCGCAUACUGGUUUCCUUGAGUACGCACAACGUUGGCGGAAUUCGUCGUGUAGCGGUGAAAUGCUUAGAUAUGACGAAGAACUCCGAUUGCGAAGGCAGCUGACGGGAGCGCAACUGACGCUUAAGCUCGAAGGUGCGGGUAUCAAACAGGAUUAGAUACCCUGGUAGUCCGCACAGUAACGAUGGAUGCCCGCUGUUGGUACCUGGUAUCAGCGGCUAAGCGAAAGCAUUAAGCAUCCCACCUGGGGAGUACGCCGGCNCGGU
rnacentral:rRNA from 1 species